CUACGUCUUGGUCCCGGUUAUUGGGUGCAACAAUUGAGGAUGAGGCAGAAAUUAUGGAGCUUCAUCCCUGAUAGGAGUCUGGGCCGCUUUGGACCCCCUCUCUCUUUUCUAUUUUAUUUUUUUACUACGUAUUCUUGGACUGCGGGCACUCCAGGAUGUUUUGUUUUUGUGUUAUUUCCUCUAGGUGUGUAAGAUUGGAGCUGUAGUAUAGGACCAUCGUCUUCGUUCUUCCUUAUUGCACUAUAGCAAGCAGAUAUCACUUCAAAUCGAUGGUCUCUUCGUUUUCUUGUAUAUUGGUGUUGCAAAGAGCAGAGUAGGUUGUUCCAACAGCGGUAACUUGCGACAUUACCAAUUUUUCUAUUAUGCUUCAAAGUAGAUUGUGGUGGUUGAUGCCUUGUGUGGAUCUUUGACUAAGCUUCCGAGCUAGUGAGAGCGUCGCAUUUGGGAGCGCCGUACUAGGGCAGCAUUUUUGAUAUGAUCUCCAAAUUGAACGUAGGAAGUCAAUGCUACAUUAUUCCCUUGUAGUAGUAGUUAACAUGGACACAAACAGUCAUUAUUAAGGAAAAAACAUCAACACCAACGAAUGGUGUGAAGGAGCUUAGAGGAUACUCGGCGAAGCAUGGAGAUCUUGAAGUUGUUGCUGCAACCAGAGCAUUUGAAAUUAGAGAGAGCAAGACGAGAUCAGAGGCCAAGCGGACGAGCAUCUAUAUCCAAACUUGAUCUCAUCAACUUCAACUCUUUUGACUAGUUGGUGGCUAGAGGCAGACUAUCGUCGACUCCUAUGAUUCCUUGGAUUUCAAACCAUUGAAUAAAUCAAAAUAAAAAAUACAAAUCCUUCUUGGCAUUCAAA